UUUAAGGUAAGUUAUAUAGACUAGAAGGUUCAUACCCUUAAAGAAAGGAAUUUCUUAAAC
rnacentral:tRNA from 1 species